rnacentral:rRNA from 1 species
UACGUAGGGGGCAAGCGUUGUCCGGAAUCAUUGGGCGUAAAGAGCGUGUAGGCGGCCCGGUAAGUCCGCUGUGAAAGUCCAGGGCUCAACCCUGGGAUGCCGGUGGAUACUGUCGGGCUCGAGUCCGGAAGAGGAGUGUGGAAUUCCUGGUGUAGCGGUGAAAUGCGCAGAUAUCAGGAGGAACACCAACGGCGAAGGCAGCUCGCUGGGACGGUACUGACACUAAGGCGCGAAAGCGUGGGGAGCGAACAGG